UACGGGGGGAGCAAGCGUUGUUCGGAUUUACUGGGCGUAAAGGGCGCGUAGGCGGUCGUGACAAGUCACUUGUGAAAUCUCCGGGCUUAACUCGGAAAGGUCAACUGAUACUGCGGGGCUAGAGUGCGGAAGGGGCAACUGGAAUUCUCGGUGUAGCGGUGAAAUGCGUAGAUAUCGAGAGGAACACCUGCGGCGAAGGCGGGUUGCUGGGCCGACACUGACGCUGAGGCGCGAAAGCCAGGGGAGCGAACGGG
rnacentral:rRNA from 1 species